rnacentral:rRNA from 1 species
CCCUUAGAUGUUCUGGGCCGCACGCGCGCUACACUGAUGCAUUCAACGAGUUUUACCUUGGCCGAGAGGCCUGGGCAAUCUUUUAAACCUGCAUCGUGAUAGGGAUAGAUUAUUGCAAUUAUUAAUCUUGAACGAGGAAUUCCUAGUAAACGCGAAUCAUCAAUUCGCAUUGAUUACGUCCCUGCCCUUUGUACACACCGCCCGUCGCUCCUACCGAUUGAAUGUUCCGGUGAGCUCUUCGGACUGCGCGGUCUGCAGUUUCUGCGUUCCGUGCGGAAAGUUGCGCAAACCUUAACAUUUAGAGGAAGGAGAAGUCGUAACA